UACGAAGGGGGCUAGCGUUGUUCGGAAUUACUGGGCGUAAAGCGCGCGCAGGCGGCUAUCCAAGUCAGUGGUGAAAGCCCGGAGCUCAACUCCGGAACUGCCAUUGAAACUGUUUAGCUUGAGGAUGAGAGAGGUGAGUGGAAUUCCGAGUGUAGAGGUGAAAUUCGUAGAUAUUCGGAAGAACACCAGUGGCGAAGGCGACUUACUGGACACAUAUUGACGCUGAGGUGCGAAAGCGUGGGGAGCAAACAGG
rnacentral:rRNA from 1 species